rnacentral:rRNA from 1 species
CCUACGGGUGGCAGCAGUGAGGAAUAUUGGUCAAUGGGCGAGAGCCUGAACCAGCCAAGUCGCGUGAGGGAGUACUGCCCUAUGGGUUGUAAACCUCUUUUGUCGGGGAGCAAAAGCCGGACGUGUCCGGCUGGGAGAGUACCCGAAGAAAAAGCAUCGGCUAACCCCGUGCCAGCAGCCGCGGUAAUACGGGGGAUGCGAGCGUUAUCCGGGUUUAUUGGGUUUAAAGGGUGCGCAGGGGGAUUUUUAAGUCAGCGGUAAAAUCGUGGGGCUCAACCCCAUCGAGCCGUUGAAACUGGGGAUCUAGAGUGUGCGAGAGGUAUGCGGAAUGCGUGGUGUAGCGGUGAAAUGCAUAGAUAUCACGCAGAACCCCGAUUGCGAAGGCAGCAUACCGGUGCACAACUGACGCUCAGGCACGAAAGCGUGGGUAUCGAACAGGAUUAGAUACCCCAGUAGUC